GGUUUCAGUUUCCGCUCUCUCGCCAGCGCUGCUUCGCCUUCCUCCUCGCUCCUCCCCUCUGCUCGUCCCGAGCCCGCUGAUUCGAGCGCAGAGAGUGAGAGAGGUUGACGGUGAUGGGUGGUAUAAGUUCGGGGGAUUCAAUCCUACUCUCCGACGACGACGAGCCGGUCGCUGCUGCCGAGCACGAGCAGCCGCCGCGUGCGGAGGAUCCGACGACGAAGAACAUCCGGAUUGGCUGCCUGACGGCUUUAACAUGAAGGUACGACACCUACGCGACGGCACCCGAAUGGAGACCUACAUCGAUCUGCCCCGUGGGUCGUUUCGAGUUCAACACGAAGAGCCAAGUGCUCGAGUACUGCUUCUCCGGAGCGUUGCAGCGCGCAGUCGAGGCGGAAGCCACACUCAAAGACAAGACGACGCUGCAGGGCAAGUACGAAUGGCUCGGGAGAAAGACCGGGUGGGGUAUCCAGAUCAGAGCCGGAGGGGAGAACAUGAGCAAGAUGUUCAAGAUCAGUGCGACUUGCAUCCGAAAACAAUGUGAUGCGCUAUUUACAUGAGGGCAAGAUCUCUAAAAGUGCUAAUCAAGAGUGUGACACGAGCUGUGAAGAUAACAUCAUUGCGCAACUUGAAUUCUAUAUUGAGGAGCUUCCACCUGGAUGGGUCAAGGAAACUACAUUCAGGAAAUGCAAUGAUGGCAUAAGAAAGGACUCAGUAAAUUAGAUGGAGCACAAUACUUAUGUAUUCACAAUAUUGAGUUUAUUUCAGUUUUUUUAUCACUUGUUUGAUUGUGUGUGUAGUUCUACACGGAUCCUGUUAAUAAACGGGUAUAUCGCUCAGUGGAGUCUGCAAAGGAAUACUUCUCUGGAAAAGAUGCAGACUCCUACGAACCAAACGAAAGUGUAACUGAUAUGUAUUACUUUGAUAACUGUAGAGAUAUGCUUCCAAGCUUAGCAAAAAGACUGAAAAGGGAAGGAACAGAAGACCAAAAAUGUGAGGAAGCAUGCGCGACUUCACAACGUAAAAAGGGUCGCACCUGUUCCGCCUUAGAUCAACCUCAACAAAAGAAGGGUAAAUCUGAAAAGAUAAGAGACAAAGAUGCAAUGACCACAGGCGAUUGCAAGCAGCCAGAGCCAAGAGGGAGGCCAAGGAAAUCCUAAGGAAAACAGAAUAAUUUAAGAAUCAGUAGUUCAUCAGUGUUGUGGACAUCAUGUUGUCUCAGUUCUUAUGCUUUUACUGUUUUGUGGUCCUGUAUUUCGCUCAAACUUGGUCUGUGAUAUUACAUUACCUGAUUGCUUUUGUUAGGCUCUGCUGCGUUUGGUUUUGUUGUCCUUACACCUUACAUAGAUAUUAGCUUGGUGUAGGGGAGCAGAUGAUAGCUAAAGAAGUUUAGAUCUCAUGCUGUUGAACUUGUAAGACUCUGUA